rnacentral:lncRNA from 1 species
AUGGAUCAUGCUCCUCGUCCUUACUAAGUGUGCAUACCAUUAUUAGAAGCUGAAAUAAAAACAAUAAAAAGAAAAGAAAAUUGAUCAAAGAAAAUUAAACAUCAUCGUUAUACGCUAGCAAUAAAAACAAACAACUCUAAGAGAAAAUUUUAAAAAGUUAAAAUUUUCCCACUUGUAACUUUUAAAAAGUAAUCAAACUUAAUAAUAUUUGAAAAGAUAUGGGAUCACUCUCUAUCAAAGUUGACCUAAGGCUCCAAGAAGCAAAAGAAAAACUCAACUCCAAAAGAAGUAAGUUGCAUAGAAAAAGGAGAGGCAACUGUUUCCAUACCUAUUAACACAAGAAAUGAAAAUGUGUUAGAAUGCGUAAUAGAAUAAGGAAAGCUAAAAAAAAAUAAAUAAAUAAUGCUAGAAUCAAAUAAAAUAAACUACCCAACCGAAAACCCAAAACAAUGGAAAAUAACAUAAAAUUUUCGUUCAAGGUGUUUUCGAUUUUCACAAAUCACGAAAUUAAAAUUGGAGUCUCCUUAAGUAAUGUAGAUCUAAUCUGAAAAAUUUUCGACAUGAAAUUCAACCCACAAAUUUUUUUUAUUUUUUUCGUAUUUUUCUAUUUUUGCACUUUUUCGAUCACUUUUUUUUGUGAGAAAUAUUUUUUAUAUUCUAAGAGAGUGCCAAGAAUCAGUAUGUAAAUUUUUUUAUCAUUUAGGAAACGUUUACUGACUAAAAAAUAUUUUUUUCCAAAAAUAUUUUUUGGGUAAGAACAAAAAAAUUUGUUUUGAGGUUGUUUGCUAAAAAUCAGUUUAUAAGAACACAAAAAAUACCUAAAAAGCCCAAAUGUAAUGCCAAAUGAUAAUAAUUGAGUGGAGGAAGUGGAUCAAGAAUCGUAUUCAAGUUGUUCAACUCGAGAAACAAAGAUUUAGAUGUGACCUGAAAGGAAGAAACUAAAAAGAUUUAGAAAAAAAUAAUAAUAAUAGAAUUAAGAAAUUUUAAAAAUAAAGAAUACAUAUUCAAAAUAGUAACUAAAUAAAGAAAAGAUAGAUUAAAACAAAGUGGAAGAUGAAAAGAGAAAAUUGAUGAAUAUGAUGAAUAGAAGGAUAAGUGUCCAAUUGAAUCUUUUGGGAUAUAAAUUCCAACAACCCCAAUAAAUGGUUUUAAUUAACCCUCCAAUAAAUAAUUUUUGGAAAAUUGAAGGGUAAAGAAUGAAUUAACACAACUCUUUGAAGAAAAUUAAGAAGAAAACUACUUCCAAAAAUUAAAAGAAAGAAAUCUUUCACAAAAAAAAAAAACUCAUAGAAUUGAAAACUUUAUUAACGAAAACAAUUGUGUCCCUACUGAAAAAUGAAGAAAUCUUUAUAUAGGCUAACUAAGUACGUCCAAAUAAAACUCUAAAGUAUACUGAAACUCUAAUUAAUCUAAAUAAUAAGUAGUUUUAAACUAAACUUUCGUGUUUAACUAAGAAACAUUAAAUUCCUAAACUAUUUAAAAUACUUAAAUAAUAUCCAAAAUUUGGAAUAAAUAAAUAAUAAAAUAAUAGAUUCUAAUAAAUACAAUUUGAGAUCAUAUAUAAUAAAAAUUAAGCCUAAAAAUUGAACCCAAUAUGAAUUAAACUCGAAUUAAAAGCCCAAAACUUAUAAUUUUCGUAAUAAUCCAGUCCAAAAAUUCUGCUUGCACAGUCUUCACUAAAAUAGUUCUGCUUGCGUAGUCUUCACUAAAACAGUCAUAAUUUGAGCUCCCAAACUCACAAUUGAGUGAUUAAGAGAUAGAUAUUCGAACGCUAUAAAUAUAUUUAAACCCAAAAUGCAUGGAUCUCAUCCAAAAAGUCAUCGUAAGUCGAUUGAUUUUCCAAACUUAAAAAUUGAUAGCUUCAAUGAAUGGAAUUUAAUAAAUGUCACCCAAUUCGUUCAUGUUUCACUACAUCCUAAUCUUUUCCAUAUGGUGCAACUUGAUUUUAGUUAAGCCUUAGGCAAUCAAUGAUCUAAUAUUUGUUUAUUCAUUUUGUUUUUUCAUGAAAAAACUUUUGAGGAAAAACAUACAAAGAUAUAAUAAAUUAACUAUGGAAUUUUAUUUAACCAAUCUAUUUGAAAAAUUACAAUUAAGAUGACAAAAUCAUUGUACUGAGGACACAAAAUCCUAACAAUACAUUGGUGAGUGCUGCACGUCUAAGGAAGGGUGCAAGUGAAGGGUGAGGGCUUUAUUAAGGGGUCACAUCUUUGUGUGAUUCAAAAAUAUGAAGGACCUUAUACUUGCAUAGUAGACUCAAAAUCAUUAGAAACAAGAUGUGAAGUUGUAAAAACCUCGAUUUUCUCUUUGUUAAGUUUGAUUGUUAAGACAAAUGUUUAGUCAAGUGUUCAAACAAUGACUGCCCAAACAAAUAUUUGAACAGAAGCUUGAAUAGAACACAAGUAAUAAGCAAAACAAGAAAAAGAAAUAAACACGAGAGAUUUGUCAACGUAGUUUAAAAAAAAUCUUACUUUAUAAAGCCUCGCUCAGUGAUGAUUCUUAUUCAACAAUCUUUCAGUUCACCUAUUGGUUUAAGCCCGAACUACCUUUUCACAAAAAAGUAAUUGUAACCCCAACAUUGACCCCAAAUGUUACAAAUCACUCGCCCAAAAACCUCACUUACAU